rnacentral:rRNA from 1 species
GUGGGGAAUAUUGGGCAAUGGGCGAAAGCCUGACCCAGCAACGCCGCGUGAAGGAAGAAGGUCUUCGGAUCGUAAACUUCUAUCCUUGGUGAAGAUAAUGACGGUAGCCGAGAAGGAAGCCCCGGCUAACUACGUGCCAGCAGCCGCGGUAAUACGUAGGGGGCAAGCGUUGUCCGGAAUGAGUGGGCGUAAAGGGCGCGUAGGCGGCCUGGUAAGUCUGGAGUGAAAGUCCUGCUUUUAAGGUGGGAAUUGCUUUGGAUACUGUCGGGCUUGAGUGCAGGAGAGGUAAGUGGAAUUCCCGGUGUAGCGGUGAAAUGCGUAGAGAUCGGGAGGAACACCAGUGGCGAAGGCGACUUACUGGACUGUAACUGACGCUGAGGCGCGAAAGUGUGGGGAGCAAACAGGAUUAGAAACCCCUGUAGUCC